CUCGGCAGAGGAAGCCAUGAUGGCGGUCGCGAAGAAGUAGAGAAAAAACACUCGUGUGACAAUUUCCAAAUAAAAAUCACAAACCUACAGCUGGAGAAUCAGAGAAAUAUUAGACGUUUGGCCUUGACCCACGAUGAUUCAGGUGGGCAUGUUCAGCACCCCACCCCCACC